rnacentral:snoRNA from 1 species
UUGCCCUCUUAAGGCUGGUGGUGCUUUAAGUGGCCAAUACAGAGGGGUAAAGUAAUUCUCUCUUAAACCCAGAGGUGAGGAUAGAACUUUCCUCUGUAUCCUGUCGGGAGAAAUAAAG